UUAUUCUCCUUAUUAGUCAUAACACCUUCCUGACCAGUUCAUUUUCAUGCUUUGGUUCAGUCUAAAUUUUAUUGCAAGUAAAUAAUUUCAUUACUUUAUGAUUUAGAGCAUGGAACCAUUCAAGCUUAUAUAAGAUUUUGGAUUUUGAUUUGGUCUGAAAACUGGUUGAUUAGAUGAUGGAAAAUCAUUACUGUUAUGGUACUUAAUACAAUGUUUCUCAUGUCGACAUGUCGACUGAUAUGUGAUUUCUUAAUGUUGCUUUUAUUUUUGCAGAACUUGA
rnacentral:misc_RNA from 1 species